CACUGGAUAGAGGAGCGAUUGCAGAGAAUCCUCAAAGUUGCCUUUGAAAUUCCCUAGCUGAGGAAAUUAAAAGACUGCUCUUUCUAGUCUUGAACUCCUGACCUCAAAUGAUCCACCCGCCUUGCCCUUCCAAAUUGUUGGGAUUCCAGGUGUGAGCCACCGCGCCUGGCCAAAAGAAUGUUCUUGAGCUUUAUAUUUUGACCCAAAUUAGGCAAUAGUUACCUUAAAGAAAAAUGAUACAGUCAAAAUCAUUUUGGCUUUAUUAAAGCUCCUCAAAAAACUCUAGAAUUAGGGCUUUCUUAAGUUACUUUUUAGCAGAAACAUUUACGGUAUUUUGUACAUAUGUGUGCAAAGUUGCUUAUUAACAUUUAUGUCAUGGUCAUAAAGACUAAUU
rnacentral:lncRNA from 1 species